AGCGAACGCUGGCGGCAGGCCUAACACAUGCAAGUCGAACGAACCCUUCGGGGUUAGUGGCGGACGGGUGAGUAACACGUGGGAACGUGCCCUUAGGUUCGGGAUAACUCAGGGAAACUUGUGCUAAUACCGAAUGUGCCCUUCGGGGGGAAGAUUUAUCGCCUUUAGAGCGGCCCGCGUCUGAUUAGCUAGUUGGUGAGGUAAUGGCUCACCAAGGCUACGAUCAGUAGCUGGUCUGAGAGGAUGACCAGCCACAUUGGGACUGAGACACGGCCCAAACUCCUACGGGAGGCAGCAGUGGGGAAUCUUGCGCAAUGGGCGAAAGCCUGACGCAGCCAUGCCGCGUGGAUGAUGAAGGUCUUAGGAUUGUAAAAUCCUUUCACCGGUGAAGAUAAUGACUGUAGCCGGAGAAGAAGCCCCGGCUAACUUCGUGCCAGCAGCCGCAGUAAGAC
rnacentral:rRNA from 1 species